CAGAGGGACAAAGACGUUUCUUGGAGGUGAAACUGGAGAAGAUGUGUGAGAUGAUGACGCCCAUCGUUCAGAAACGAAACUUAAAGAGGCUGCUGACGUCUGAACCAGGAAAUGAAAGAAGAGGAGAGGACAGGCAGAUAAACACACAGACACACAGACGCUUCACUGCAGAGACUCUAGUCAGCCUGGUGAAGACGAAGAUGAGGAGCAAGUUGAUCUAUGUUCUCAUGAUGGCAGUGAUGUCUGCAUUGCUGGUCAUCACGAAUUCUGCUGAACUUGAAACAACAUGGGGAUGGACCACACCAGGAACAUCUGUAAUGAAUUUAAACGGGAAGAUGUUCACUUUGUCUCUGUAUAGAGGAGGAAUAUCCUUCUAUCCACCCUAUUAUUCUGCUACCCCCACCUCUCCUUACUACACCCCCAAACGCACCACCNCCCCCCCCAAAAACCACCACCAAACCCACACCCCGCCCCACCACCAGGCGCUACUACCCCACUACCUAUCCCUAUCCCUGGACCACAGCACGUCCUACUAGCGCAGGUGUGACGGUGUGUCUGCGUUACCUGGCCGACGACACUUCCUUUUCACUACUUACAAUCAGCCCAUCCAGCAGAAACCCUCUGAGGCUGGACGUCUCUAAUGCUGGGUAUCAGCUAACCUUUCAAUAUGGCUACAACUCACUGUACUUGCGACCUAACAUAAGGUUCUGGUCAAACCCUGGAGCGGACAUCUGGACCAGAGUCUGCCUCACUCUGGACUCGAUGAAGAAUGUGGCCCAGGUGUUCAGUGGCUCUCAUAUGAGCAUCAGAAAGUUGAUGCCUGUUAAGUAUGCCUGGUCGGGUCAGCCUGUGAUUGAAUUUUCAGGUUUUGAUGGUCAGAUGACAGACCUGCAGGUGUGGGAUUAUCCUCUCCGCUACAGAGAAGUCUUCAACUACAUGACCGGCGGUGUCUACAUGCCGUACAGUGGCUCCGUCAUCAACUGGUCCUACAUCGGCUACACCCCCAGAGGAUCAAUACUAUUGGAGGAUGUCUAUGAGCGGCAGGCAAGACAGCCGAUCAGCAGCAGCAGCAAGGAAGGAGGAGAGGGGAGGAGGAAAGGGCACCGACCAAAGGGAGAGAAGAAGACCAUGAAGUUGUAUUAUAUGCAGAGUAAGAGUGAAAAUAAUUUCUGAAACAUACAGGGGUAUGUGUUCAAAAAGCUGAUUCCUCUGUUCUUCACUUAAUAAUGAAGGAUUCACAAUAAUCAACCAAGCAAUAAUUAAUCAUAAAUGAUCUUCAAACUACUGCUGGUUACUGAUAUGAUGAAAGUGUGUAUUUACUGUAGAUUUACAGGAUGGUAACAGAAUAAAACGGUGUAAUUCUUUAAAUUUUUACUAACACGUUUGACUUUAUGUUGAUCUUUUUUAUGUGAAUUUACUUGCCUUAUUUUGUAUGUUCUAAUAAAAUAGUAAAAAGA